rnacentral:rRNA from 1 species
AUUGAACGCUGGCGGCAUGCCUUACACAUGCGAGUCGAACGGCAGCACGGGUGCUUGCCCCUGGUGGCGAGUGGCGAACGGGUGAGUAAUACAUCGGAACAUGUCCUGUAGUGGGGGAUAGCCCGGCGAAAGCCGGAUUAAUACCGCAUACGAUCUACGGAUGAAAGCGGGGGACCUUCGGGCCUCGCGCUAUAGGGUUGGCCGAUGGCUGAUUAGCUAGUUGGUGGGGUAAAGGCCUACCAAGGCGACGAUCAGUAGCUGGUCUGAGAGGACGACCCGCCACACUGGGACUGAGACACGGCCCAGACUCCUACGGGAGGCAGCAGUGGGGAAUUUUGGACAAUGGGCGAAAGCCUGAUCCAGCAAUGCCGCGUGUGUGAAGAAGGCCUUCGGGUUGUAAAGCACUUUUGUCCGGAAAGAAAUCCUUGGCCCUAAUACGGUCGGGGGAUGACGGUACCGGAAGAAUAAGCACCGGCUAACUACGUG